rnacentral:rRNA from 1 species
UACGUAGGGUGCGAGCGUUAAUCGGAAUUACUGGGCGUAAAGCGUGCGCAGGCGGUUUUGAAAGACAGGCGUGAAAGCCCCGGGCUCAACCUGGGAAGUGCACUCGAUACUGCCCGGCUAGAGUACUGGAGAGGUUGGUGGAAUUCUCGGUGUAGAGGUGAAAUUCGUAGAUAUCGAGAGGAACACCGGUGGCGAAGGCGGCCAACUGGACAGAUACUGACGCUGAGACACGAAAGCGUGGGGAGCAAACAGG